rnacentral:rRNA from 1 species
AGAGUUUGAUCAUGGCUCAGAUUGAACGCUGGCGGCAGGCCUAACACAUGCAAGUCGAGCGGUAGCACAGAGAGCUUGCUCUCGGGUGACGAGCGGCGGACGGGUGAGUAAUGUCUGGGAAACUGCCUGAUGGAGGGGGAUAACUACUGGAAACGGUAGCUAAUACCGCAUAACGUCGCAAGACCAAAGUGGGGGACCUUCGGGCCUCAUGCCAUCAGAUGUGCCCAGAUGGGAUUAGCUAGUAGGUGGGGUAACGGCUCACCUAGGCGACGAUCCCUAGCUGGUCUGAGAGGAUGACCAGCCACACUGGAACUGAGACACGGUCCAGACUCCUACGGGAGGCAGCAGUGGGGAAUAUUGCACAAUGGGCGCAAGCCUGAUGCAGCCAUGCCGCGUGUGUGAAGAAGGCCUUCGGGUUGUAAAGCACUUUCAGCGGGGAGGAAGGCGUUAAGGUUAAUAACCUUGGCGAUUGACGUUACCCGCAGAAGAAGCACCGGCUAACUCCGUGCCAGCAGCCGCGGUAAUACGGAGGGUGCAAGCGUUAAUCGGAAUUACUGGGCGUAAAGCGCACGCAGGCGGUCUGUCAAGUCGGAUGUGAAAUCCCCGGGCUCAACCUGGGAACUGCAUUCGAAACUGGCAGGCUAGAGUCUUGUAGAGGGGGGUAGAAUUCCAGGUGUAGCGGUGAAAUGCGUAGAGAUCUGGAGGAAUACCGGUGGCGAAGGCGGCCCCCUGGACAAAGACUGACGCUCAGGUGCGAAAGCGUGGGGAGCAAACAGGAUUAGAUACCCUGGUAGUCCACGCCGUAAACGAUGUCGAUUUGGAGGUUGUGCCCUUGAGGCGUGGCUUCCGGAGCUAACGCGUUAAAUCGACCGCCUGGGGAGUACGGCCGCAAGGUUAAAACUCAAAUGAAUUGACGGGGGCCCGCACAAGCGGUGGAGCAUGUGGUUUAAUUCGAUGCAACGCGAAGAACCUUACCUGGUCUUGACAUCCACAGAACUUUCCAGAGAUGGAUUGGUGCCUUCGGGAACUGUGAGACAGGUGCUGCAUGGCUGUCGUCAGCUCGUGUUGUGAAAUGUUGGGUUAAGUCCCGCAACGAGCGCAACCCUUAUCCUUUGUUGCCAGCGGUCCGGCCGGGAACUCAAAGGAGACUGCC